GAUGAACGCUGGCGGCGUGCCUAAUACAUGCAAGUCGAGGGAAUGGAUAAAGAGCUUGCUCUUAUGAAGUUAGCGGCGGACGGGUGAGUAACACGUGGGUAACCUGCCCAUAAGACUGGGAUAACUCCGGGACACCGGGGCUAAUACCGGAUAACAUUUUGAACCGCAUGGUUCGAAAUUGAAAGGCGGCUUCGGCUGUCACUUAUGGAUGGACCCGCGUCGCAUUAGCUAGUUGGUGAGGCAACGGCUCACCAAGGCAACGAUGCGUAGCCGACCUGGGAGGGUGAUCGGCCGCACUAGGACUGAGACACUGCCCAGACUCCGACGGGAGGCAGCAGUAGGGGAUCAUCCGCAAUGGACGAAAGUCUGACGGAGCAACGCCGCGUGAGUGAUGAAGGCUUUCGGGUCGUAAAACUCUGUUGUUAGGGAAGAACAAGUGCUAGUUGAAUAAGCUGGCACCUUGACGGUACCUAACCAGAAAGCCACGGCUAACUACGUGCCAGCAGCCGCAGUAA
rnacentral:rRNA from 1 species